GUCCCAGUUCGGAUUGUAGUCUGCAACCCGACUACAUGAAGCUGGAAUCGCUAGUAAUCGCGGAUCAGAAUGCCGCGGUGAAUACGUUCCCGGGUCUUGUACACACCGCCCGUCACACCAUGGGAGUCGGAAAUGCCCGAAGUCUGUGACCCAACCAUUAAGGAGGGAGCAGCCGAAGGCAGGUCGGAUGACUGGGGUGAAGUCGUAACAAGGUAGC
rnacentral:rRNA from 1 species